ensembl:antisense_RNA anr-23 ncRNA
UUGAGUAGCAUAUAAGUUCUGUUCCACUGAUUUCUUCGAACGAACUUUGCAGUUCAUUGGACAAAACUACUGUGUUUUCAAGUACCAUUUACAGCUUCUUCAACAAACAUUGCGACACAUUUUUAUGAUGAAACAACGCUUCUUAUUGUCUGUGUUUCCUGUUCCUAGGCGAUGAAGUGUCUGGCAUUU